GCGAGAGUCUGCGGCUUCAUUCUUUUAGUCAGUGAGACCAAGAACCCACCAAUUCCGGACAGGGCAUCUACCUAGAAGUCAGCAGCUCAGUGGAGUCUUUCCUGGUAACCCGACCUAAAAUCCCCAAACUGCCAAGAAUUGGUGUACAAAUAUCACGGACAGUGGGAAAAACAAUGAAUGCUGCCUGCUUAAGUCACAAGGCUCUUUAUUCUGAUAUCCCACUGCUCAUUCCAAAUCCCAAGAUCCUGAGGAACUGUCAUUGAUCGACUCAGAGAUAAGCUAUCCAACUUUGAUCUAAUUAAGGAUGUUCAGAGUCUAUUUCAUGUUUUGCAUAAUGAUUACCAGGGUCACCAGUGCUGAUAAGGAGGAAUGCAAGUAGACAUUGAGAUGGGCUUAAUGUAGUUUUUCAGAUUUGAACCUUCUAAAAAGAUUAUCUGGAUUAGAAUCUGGGCUCUGCUUUGAAGCUGUAGGAAUUUGGACCAUUUAACUUUUGUAUGCCUUAGUUUCCUAAUUUAUGAAAAAUAAUAAUCAUAGCCCAAACUUUAUGAAAAUAUUGUGGAAAAUUAAGUUAAUCAUGGCAGAAGUUUGUAAAACAUCGGCAUACAGUGGGCACUCUGUAAAUAGUGGCUGAUGUACUAUUAUCAUUAUAGACCAGGACAAGUUAUUUAAAUAUUAACUUCUGUGUUUUUUUUUUUUUUUUACUUUCUGUCUAUAUUUUUUAUUCUGAUUUACUUCCAUAAGCCAAGUAUCUGUAUUCCCUUUGUGUAACAGGCAUAAAUGCAGAAGUUAUUUUCACAAAACUUGCAUUAUUGGCUUGGGCUUGAAGGGAUUAGUAGACAUGAAGAGACAAGUAUGUUCAAAGACAGGAUGGAGACAAAGACUCCCUAAGUUGGAGAAACAUUAAAGAAAGGGAAGAUUCUAUUUCUGCUGCACACAGGCAAGCAUUUCUCUUGGAUAUAUUCCUAAGAAUGGGGCUGUGGGAUGUAGUGGAAAUAUUCAACUUGAAAAGAAAAUCUCAAAUUGUUUUCCAAAUGUCUAUGGAUCGAAACACACACAAGCUGCUUAUAAAAGAUCCGUUGACUUGAAUUCUCUUUAGCAUUUAGUAUUGUCAAAACUCAUAUUUUCCAAUCCAUUGGUUGUGAACGACCUCAUUAAGACCAU